GAUGAACGCUGGCGGCGUGCCUAAUACAUGCAAGUCGAGCGAACAGAUAAGGAGCUUGCUCCUUUGACGUUAGCGGCGGACGGGUGAGUUACACGUGGAUAACCUACCUAUAAGACUGGGAUAACUUCGGGAAACCGGAGCUAAUACCGGAUAACAUAUUGAACCGCAUGGUUCAAUAGUGAAAGGCGGCUUUGCUGUCACUUAUAGAUGGAUCCGCGCCGUAUUAGCUAGUUGGUAAGGUAACGGCUUACCAAGGCAACGAUACGUAGCCGACCUGAGAGGGUGAUCGGCCACACUGGAACUGAGACACGGUCCAGACUCCUACGGGAGGCAGCAGUAGGGAAUCUUCCGCAAUGGGCGAAAGCCUGACGGAGCAACGCCGCGUGAGUGAUGAAGGUCUGCGGAUCGUAAAACUCUGUUAUCAGGGAAGAACAAAUGUGUAAGUAACUGUGCACAUCUUGACGGUACCUGAUCAGAAAGCCACGGCUAACUACGUG
rnacentral:rRNA from 1 species